rnacentral:lncRNA from 1 species
UCAAUUUCCAUGGAUAACGCUUCUAGCAACAGUAGUGCAAUAGGUAUGCUAACUAGAACACUUAAUCCUGCUUUUACUAAUAUUUUCCAUAUUAGAUGUAUUUGUCACAUUUACCAUUUAACUGUUGGUGAUGGUAUGAGAAUAUUAAACAUAGAAAUUGAAAAGGUUAAAAUGGCUCUUAAUUGGCUAUUUUAUUCAAACCGUAGAAGUAGACUU